UACAGAGGUCCCGAGCGUUGUUCGGAUUCACUGGGCGUAAAGGGUGCGUAGGUGGCCGGUUAAGUCUGACGUGAAAUCUCCGAGCCUAACUCGGAAACUGCGUCGGAAACUAUCCGGCUCGAGGGUUGGAGGGGGGACUGGAAUACUUGGUGUAGCAGUGAAAUGCGUAGAUAUCAAGUGGAACACCAGUGGCGAAGGCGAGUCCCUGGACAACUCCUGACACUGAGGCACGAAAGCUAGGGGAGCAAACAGG
rnacentral:rRNA from 1 species